ACGAACGCUGGCGGCAUGCCUAACACAUGCAAGUCGAACGAGACCUUCGGGUCUAGUGGCGCACGGGUGCGUAACGCGUGGGAACCUGCCCUUAGGUUCGGAAUAACUCCCCGAAAGGGGUGCUAAUACCGGAUAAUGUCUUCGGACCAAAGAUUUAUCGCCUUUGGAUGGGCCCGCGUUGGAUUAGCUAGUUGGUAGGGUAAAAGCCUACCAAGGCGCCGAUCCAUAGCUGGUCUGAGAGGAUGAUCAGCCACACUGGGACUGAGACACGGCCCAGACUCCUACGGGAGGCAGCAGUGGGGAAUAGUGGACCAUGGGCGAAAGCCUGAUCCAGCUAUGACGCGUGAGUGAUGAAGGCCUUAGGGUUGUAAAGCUCUUUUAACCGGGAUGAUAAUGACAGUACCGGGAGAAUAAGCUCCGGCUAACUCCGUG
rnacentral:rRNA from 1 species